rnacentral:rRNA from 1 species
UACGUAGGGUGCAAGCGUUGUCCGGAAUUAUUGGGCGUAAAGAGCUCGUAGGCGGUCUGUCGCGUCUGCUGUGAAAACUCGGGGCUUAACCCCGGGCCUGCAGUGGGUACGGGCAGACUAGAGUGCGGUAGGGGGAGACUGGAAUUCCUGGUGUAGCGGUGGAAUGCGCAGAUAUCAGGAGGAACACCGGUGGCGAAGGCGGGUCUCUGGGCAGUAACUGACGCUGAGGAGCGAAAGCGUGGGGAGCGAACAGG